AAAAAAACUUUAUUUACCCACUUUAUUAAGAUACAUUAUAUACAAUAAAGGCAAUAAUAUACAAGGAAUCUAUGGUACGAAUAUGCUAUAAUUCACAAUAGUUUUGGUUAAGAUAGCAUCAGCUAAGGAAAAUGGAAAUCAAUUUACCGAUUUUAGCGCUAAUGAAAAUGGUUUUGGAUGCAUCCAAAACCAAUCCCUAGACAAAUGCAAACAAAUUAGGCAAUUCAUAGCUCAUGAGAAUGGUUUUGGAUGCGUCCAAAACCAAACCUAUAGGAAAAUGCAAAUCAAUUUACCGAUUUUAGCGCCAAUGAAAAUGGUUUUGGAUACAUCCAAAACCAAUCCCUAGACAAAUGCAAACAAAUUAGGCAAUUUAUAGCUCAUGAGAAUGGUUUUGGACGCGUCCAAUACCAACCCUGUAGGAAAAUGCAAAUCAAUUUGCCGAUAUGUCCAAAACUAUCCUAGAGAAAUGCAAACCAAUUCGCUGAUUUUAGCAAAAAAUCUCCAGACAAAUGAAAACAAAUCAGCCGAUUUU